rnacentral:tRNA from 1 species
GUAAAGUCAGCUAACUAAGCUCUC